ensembl:snoRNA
CAUUCUAACUCCUCUAUCCCAUAAAUACUUACUGUGGUCAUUCAAGUGGGGCAAAGGAAAUAUCCUUUUAAAACUCAGGCAAACCAGUGCUUAUCUUGUAUCCUGUCAAAGGAAACAAAU